rnacentral:hammerhead_ribozyme from 1 species
AUCUGACUGACGAGUCCCAAAUAGGACGAAACGCGCAUAUUAGAU